GAACUCCUUGUAGUAAAAUUCGACUUGCGCAAUGACGGUGAACGCCUCUGACAACCCGAUCAGCGUCAAUUGAGGGACCAACCAGAGUGCUGACAUGGAAGAAAUUGAACCCCUUCUCCCUGUUUCUUCGCACAAUGGCUGUGAGCGUAAUGCCGCCUUCUCUGGCUGUGAUUCGGCGGAGAGAAGGGACUAAGAUACGAUCGUAGAAAGGGAUCCAGAUGGUGAGGCCAAUCAUGGUGAAUAUUGUGUAAGAAGCGGCUGGGAUUUUGAAAUAAUGGGUGUUUCCAAAGAAUAAACGCCUAUCGGAUUGGAGGGCUUGAAAUACAGCGUAUGUUUGUUGCUGUGUGGUAGCGACAUGGUAGAUUAUGGCUGCACCCCAUAUUGGGAAGCCAGUUAAUGGCAAAGCCCUUCACUGUGAUGGAAGGUACAGCAGGCUGUGAAAAUGCUAUUCCUGGCCUGAAGAUACAGCAAUUCAUUGCCUCUCAACGUUUCAAAAGUGCUGAAUUGAUUAGACAGCUUUGGUUUAGUACAAAAAAGCACCGUUCUUUUUAUUUUAUCUGUAUAUUUUUUAAUUUUGAAACAGUUGCAUGUAGCAUUCAAUCAGCUCAUAGAACUGCUUUAGAUUAAUGAUGUGUACAUCAGAAUUUGAAUUUGAGAGACUUCAUAAAUGCCUGCCUGAGUUUUGUGAAGCACAUAAAGUGCCAUAUUUCCAAGAGGUUGAUGGUCCCAAACAGAGAAAUUGAUCCAAUAAAUUGUCUCUUGUUGUA